rnacentral:rRNA from 1 species
UGAGGAAUAUUGGUCAAUGGGCGAGAGCCUGAACCAGCCAAGUAGCGUGCAGGAUGACGGCCCUAUGGGUUGUAAACUGCUUUUAUAUGGGAAUAAAGUGAGGGACGUGUCCCCUAUUGCAUGUACCAUACGAAUAAGGACCGGCUAAUUCCGUGCCAGCAGCCGCGGUAAUACGGAAGGUCCAGGCGUUAUCCGGAUUUAUUGGGUUUAAAGGGAGCGUAGGCUGUUUGUUAAGCGUGUUGUGAAAUGUAGGAGCUCAACUUUUAGAUUGCAGCGCGAACUGGCAGACUUGAGUGCGCACAACGUAGGCGGAAUUCAUGGUGUAGCGGUGAAAUGCUUAGAUAUCAUGACGAACUCCGAUUGCGAAGGCAGCUUACGGGAGCGCAACUGACGCUAAAGCUCGAAGGUGCGGGUAUCGAACAGG